GAAUUCAGUGAAUCAUCGAAUCUUUGAACGCACCUUGCGCCCUUUGGUAUUCCGAAGGGCACACCUGUUUGAGUGUCGUGAAAUUCUCAACCCUCCUCACUUUUGUGAAGGAAGGGCUUGGACUUGGAGGCUUUGCCGGCUUUGUUUCGGCUCCUCUCAAAUGCAUUAGUACGUCUCGUUGCGAUGUGCGCCUCGGUGUGAUAAUUAUCUACGCUGCGUGUGUGCUUGCUUCUUAUUGAGAUGUGCUUCAAACCGUCCGAGAGGACAAUUCAUCGAAACUUGACCUCAAAUCAGGUGGGACUACCCGCUGAACUUAAGCAUAUCAAUAAGCGGAGGA
rnacentral:rRNA from 1 species